rnacentral:rRNA from 1 species
AACGCUGGCGGCGUGCCUAACACAUGCAAGUCGAACGCCCUACGCAAGUAGGGAGUGGCGGACGGGUGAGGAACACGUGAGUACCUACCCAUCAGUGAGGAAUACCGGCGAGAAAUCGCCGACAAGACCGCAUAUGCUUCGCAAGAAGGAAAGCUCGCAAGAGCGCUGAAGGAUGGGCUUGCGCCCGAUUAGUUAGUUGGUGAGGUAAUGGCUUACCAAGACCGCGAUCGGUAGCUGGUCUGAGAGGAUGAUCAGCCACACUGGGAUUGAGAACGACCCAGACUCCUACGGGGGGCAGCAGUGAGGAAUUUUCGUCAAUGGGGGCAACCCUGAACGAGCAACGCCGCGUGCAGGAAGAAGGUCUUCGGAUCGUAAACUGCUUUUCACUGGGACGAGCAAGGACGGUACCAGAGGAAUCAGCCUCGGCUAACUACGUGCCAGCAGCCGCGGUAAUACGUAGGAGGCAAGCGUUGUCCGGAGUUACUGGGCGUAAAGCGCACGCAGGCGGUCUUUUAAGUCUGUAGGGACAGGGCACAGCUCAACUGUGUCAGGCUUACGGAAACUGGGAGACUUGAGGGCUUCAGAGGGAUGGGGAAUUCCGGGUGGAGUGGUGAAA